AUGAAAUUAAAAUUAUUAAAUAUAAUUUUAUCAAUAAUAAAUAAACUUAAUAAUAAUAAUAAUAUUAUUAUUAAUAAUCUAUUAGAUUCAUUAAUAAAUAAGAAAUUAUUAUUAAAGAAUAUAUUAUUAGAUAUAAAUAAUAAAAAAAUAAAUAAUAUAAAAAGAAUAUUAAAUAAUAAUAAUAUAAAUAUUAAUAAUAAAUUACAACAUUUAAAUAAUAUAAAUAAUUGAAAUCUACAAAUUUAUAAUUAUAAUAAAAAUAUAGAAAUUAUAAAUACUAUAAAUGAUAAAUUAAUUAAUAAAUUAUUAUAUAAAAUAAUAACUUUAAAAUUAAAUAAUAUAAACCCCGCGGGACCAAUCCGGUGAACAACCGGAUUGGCGCCCGCGGGGAAUAUUAAUAAAAUUAUUAUAAGUAAACUUAUUAAUCAACAUAGUUUAAAUAAAUUAAAUAUUAAAUUUUAUUAUUAUAAUAAUGAUAUUAAUAAUAAUAAUAAUAAUAAUAAUAAUAAUUAUUAUAUAAAUAUAAUAAAUAAAUUAAUAAAUAUUAUAAAUAAUAAUAUAAAUAAUAAUUUAUGUAAUAUUUUAAGUUAUUAUUAUAAUAAAAAAGUAACUAUUGAACCUAUUAAAUUAUCAUAUAUUUAUUUAAAUAGUGAUAUUUUUAGUAAAUAUAUUAGUUUAAAUGAUAUAGAUAAAUAUAAUAAUGGUAUCUUAACUAAUUAUCAACGUAUAUUAAAUAAUAUUAUGCCUAAAUUAAAUGAUCAUAAUAUUUCUAUAAAUUAUAUUAAUAAUAUUAAUAAUAUUAAUAAUAAUAAAUAUAAUAAUAUAAUUAAUUUAUUAAAUAAUAAUAAUAAUAAUAAUAAUAAUAAUAAUAUUAAUAAUAAUAAUAAUUAUAAUAAUAAUAAUAAUAAUUAUAUUGGUAAUAUUAAUAAUAUUUAUAAUAAUAUAACUAUUGAUAAUAUUCCUAUAGAUAUUUUAAUAUAUAAAUAUUUAGUUGGUUGAUCUAUUAAAUUUAAAGGUAGAUUAAGUAAUAAUAAUGGUAGAACUAGUACACUUAAUUUAUUAAAUGGUACUUUUAAUAAUAAAAAAUAUUUAUGAAGUAAUAUUAAUAAUAAUUAUAAAUUAAAUUAUAUCCCUUCUAAUCAUAAUUUAUAUAAUAAUUCUAAUAUUAAUAAAAAUGGUAAAUAUAAUAUUAAAGUUAAAUUAAACUUUAUUUAA
rnacentral:rRNA from 1 species